AUGGUACAUCUCAUACAUGCAAGGGCAUCUCAUCGCGGUCGUCUCGCGUUAUGCCUUCAAAGCGUGCAUUUUCAGGUAGAACGAGUUUGGUGCAAUGUAGAGGAAAUAGACGUUCUCGCAUCGGUCGUAGUGGAAGUAGUUGUUCACGGCGACGGUAGUGGUUCACGUUGUCUUGUCCAAAACACGGUGGUGGUAGUUGUUCACCCGACGGCCUUCAGCGACGGUAGUUGUACAUGGUUCGUAGAUGUUCAAGUCAUCGGUAGAGGUACUUGUGGCAUCUCUGAACAUAGUCGACCUUGGCGUAUCCAAACGGUUCUUGGUGAAUCCACGUAG
rnacentral:rRNA from 1 species